GAGCCCUCUCCUCCUCCUCUCCUCCACUUCCUCAGCUGUGAAAUAGGAAUGAUGAUGAUGUUGAUAAUGGUGAUGAUGAUAGUGAUGAUGGUGAUGAGGAUGAUGGUGAUGAUGGUGAUGAUAAUGGUGAUGGUGAUGAUGAUGGUAAUGAUGGUGAUGUGAUGAUGGUGAUGAUGAUGGUAAUAAUGAUAUUGACGAUGAUGAUGAUUGUUACAAUGAUGAUGAUGGUGGUAGUGGUGAUGAUGGUGAUGAUGAUAGUGAUGAUGAUGGUGAUGGUGAUGAUGAUGGUGAUAAUGAUGAUAAUGAUGGUGGUGGUGAUGAUGAUUAUAAUGAUUAUGAGUAAUGAGAGUGAUGGUGAUGGGAUGAUGGUGAUGAUGGUGAUGGUGUUGGUGAUGGUGAUG
rnacentral:lncRNA from 1 species